rnacentral:rRNA from 1 species
UCCACGAGUUCCGUGCCGCAGCUAACGCAUUAAGCGCCCCGCCUGGGGAGUACGGCCGCAAGGCUAAAACUCAAAGGAAUUGACGGGGGCCCGCACAAGCGGCGGAGCAUGUUGCUUAAUUCGAUGCAACGCGAAGAACCUUACCUAGGCUUGACAUGCACGGAAAUCCUCCAGAGAUGGUGGGUCCGUAAGGGCCGUGCACAGGUGGUGCAUGGUUGUCGUCAGCUCGUGUCGUGAGAUGUUGGGUUAAGUCCCGCAACGAGCGCAACCCUCGUUCUAUGUUGCCAGCACGUGAUGGUGGGGACUCAUAGGAGACUGCCGGGGUCAACUCGGAGGAAGGUGGGGAUGACGUCAAAUCAUCAUGCCCCUUAUGUCUAGGGCUGCAAACAUGCUACAAUGGCCGGUACAAAGGGCUGCGAUACCGCGAGGUGGAGCGAAUCCCAAAAAGCCGGUCUCAGUUCGGAUUGGGGUCUGCAACUCGACCCCAUGAAGUUGGAGUCGCUAGUAAUCGCAGAUCAGCAACGCUGCGGUGAAUACGUUCCCGGGCCUUGUACACACCGCCCGUCACGUCACGAAAGUCGGUAACGCCCGAAGCCGGU